CCUUUUUUCACCUCAUCCCUACUACUAGUUUACACACAAAUCACCGAGCAGAGCUAGUAGCUGACCAAAAGAACACAAGGUUUAGCAAACUGGGGUAAUAUGCUUCGAACAUUCAAGAACAAAGUACAUAUUAUGAGAUAUAAACAUAGAUCAGCAAAUAAUAUGAAAAAAGAAGGUUGUCAACCCAACAAGUGUUGUAUGGAUGGAUUGUCAAAAUGUCAUUAGAUCAUGUUUGCUGGGAUUUCGGUAUUUCCAAAAUUAUUGUAGAGAGUGACAGUGUGGUGCAAUUUGUCUCUGUAACGAGGGAUCCUCUAGAUAGUGCUCGCACUUUGAUUGGCAUGAUCAGAAAGCUUCUGGGGCGAAACUGGGAAGUUAGCGUCUCUUACAUGUACCAUGAAAAGAGUUUUUGUGCAGACUUCUUGGCAAACAGAGCUUUUGCUUUCCUGUUCGGAACCCACAGGCCGUCUCUGCCCCUAGCAGACAUUGAUGCUUGGCUGGUUCAUGAUGUUGGAGGGGUGGCUCACGCUGUUCCUGUAUUCGUUAGUUUGUGCUUUGCUCCUCCCUGUUCUACCUAAAAAAAAUAUCAUUAGAUUGCAUCAACUUCUUAAAAGUGUACAUUUUCUUUUCUACUUAAUCCAAUUUCUCAUUUUGCCGUAUGGAGGCAAUCCUGAAAGAUAUAUAUAGUUGAUAAAGUUUAAAUUUUGUAUGGUCUUAAAGAAGCAAAAACAAUAAUAGAAAUCGAAAAGAACAAUAGAACCUCGGAGACCUACUUUAUAAUUAUUCAUCAACAUAGAUAUACCCAGUCUAUCAGCAUCAAAAUUAAACUCUAUAGACCCUGUCCCUGGUAGUAUCUGAGCAAGCAACAGAAGAGGGAGGAGCAUGCGUAGUAUAAUUUGUUGGGGACAGGCUGCAUUUCUAUCUUUUCAUCAAAUCAAACUAUCUUUUCAGAAACAUACCAUUACCAGUCUAUUGGACACAUAUCACUAACACUUAUAAUGUAAAGUAUCUACUAACCUGGUCUAUGCAUAAUCCAUUCAGACAUUUCUAGACGGUUCAAUUUCAUGAAAUCGUAAGUAAAACUCUUUCUUUUCCUCCUUCCCUUAUAUUUAACAAUGGACACAAUAUUCUAUUGCUGUUUUUAGACAUCCUUCUUUCUUUUUUUUUUUUUUUUCCUUCUUUAUGACUAGAAACCACUAUUUGCAAUUUUGCAUAUCUAGUUUAGGACCCAUUUCUGGGAGCCACCUCUCAAUUUGUGAAUAUCAUGCAUGGAUGCUGACUCAGUCAACAAGAUGAACUUUCUCCUGCAAUGCUACUGGAAACAAAUACAAUGGAACAGCAUUACCUUUGCCUAAUCAUUAGAUUGGUCUUUCAACAACAACGAAAAAAUGGAUUAUGGUGAUUAAUUAUCACAUACAGGGAAACUUUUGAAAUUGCACCGUGAUUUAUUGUUGAAAGGGCAGAAAAACUCCUAACAGAAAGUGCAAUGCUGAAACAAAGCUAAUGCACCCCUAAACCACCAUAGGUUGACAGCAACCCAUUUCUAUCAUAAUGGCAACAAACUUAGGUGACUUUCUCAAAGUGUUGCAUCUUCUUUCAGAAUGCAUGAAGUAACAAAGAGAAACAUUUGCCAACAUACUCGGCUCUUCUACCACUAAUCCCUAAAUAAGUGAAAACAACAUGAAGAAGGAACAGCAUACCUAGAUUUUCUGCAGUUCCUAUCAUGGGAGCUUUAAUACGAGAUGAUUCUCCGCUAUUAUCUUCAUUUGUCCUGACUGUACCACAGUCAUCUUGACAUUUCAGUGCAGAGGAUAAUGCCUUUUUGUCCUGUCAUUGAAGUCCAGGAUAUUUCAGCCUCUUCAUCCAUAUUUUUAACAGUCUCCUUAACCUUCUGUAAAAUUACUGCUAAAUUCCCCACUUCACAAUGUAGAGCCUGAUUUUCAGAAACAAACAAGAAAGGUCAAUAAGCACAAAGAAACAGAAGUCAAAUAAACAGCCAAUGGACUUAAAUUCUAACCUCUUUCUCAGAAAUCAGAUUCUGUAUUACUGCAUCCUUUGCCAAAAGAUUUUUCUGAAGGUGAGAUUUGUUAAGACAAUUCAUAAGAGAAUAUUUUCAGCUAAAGGUAAAUUCUUUUGUUGGAAUCUAGAAAACAGAUAUUCAUGCUUGUGUGGAUAUCUCUUCUAUUUGAGUUUGACAAUUGUUCCUAAUAUUUGCUGCUUCCAGUUGUCCUUCUAGGUCUGAUAUAAUUUUCCCCUUUCUUUGGAGCUCAUCCUCAUUAUUUUUCAGUUUAUUUUCCAGGUCAUGGACCUUUUCAACAAAUACUUCUUCAAAAACAGAGACCUUAUCCAUCUUGCUCCUUAAGCCAGCUACUACUUCCUCUUUUUCAAGCACAAGGAGUUGCACAGUGUCCACAACGUGCUUGAUUGAGAAAGUUUCCUUUUCUAUAUAAUCAAACAACGACAGAUGAGAAUCUAGCUUUUCUGAUAGGAGACCGAGUUUUCUAUCUCUGGCUUCAAUUGCACGUUUCAUCUUACAAGUUGAUUCCUCAUAAGCAUGCACGAAGCUUUCCCUAGAUUGAAGCAGGGUCUGUAUUGUUCCUUGCAUCUCCUUCUGUCUAUUCUCAAGCAAAGCAUUGUCGUCUUGAAGGUAACUCACCUUCCGUUCAAGCUUAUUGCGCAAUUCGUUGGAAGAAGCUAACUCCGCCUGCAAAUCCUGCAACUUCCUUCCGUAUUCCUCCUCGGAUUGCUUUUGUUUCUGAAUUAGAAUAUGGCAUUGUUCGGUAGCAGAGCGUUCUCUUUCUCUGAGAUCUCGAAGUUCGGAGGUUAGGGCUUGAAGCUGAAGCUUGAAUUUAGAAAGUUUAAGCAACUCCAUUUUCCCUCCAAAAUUGAAAAUUACGUUCAGCCGCAGCAGUAUUGCACUCGACCAUUCAAAAACAAAAGGAGAAAGAUGCUUUGGCCUGGCCUCUACUCUCCACAGCCAUUCGGUAUUUUUGUUGCAAACAUACGACUUGUCGUUAAAAUUGGAGUUGACUCUUUUAUUUCUUACUUCUUUUAGCCAGAGACAGUAAGAAGAAUUUCAUUAAUAAAAGGGCUCAAACAGCGUAAGACAGGAGAAGUUCAAAUCAAGCAUAGGCUUCCAAAGAAGGGCCC
rnacentral:misc_RNA from 1 species